rnacentral:tRNA from 5 species
CCGAAAAUGUUGGUUUAAAUCCCUCCUAUACUA